AUCGCUUCUCGGCCUUUUGGCUAAGAUCAAGUGUAGUAUUUACAGAUAUACGUAUGUUCUUUUAUUCCUUCCUCAAAAAAUAAUAUUUUAUUCAUCAUCCCCA
ensembl:snRNA U2 U2 spliceosomal RNA